AUAAGCUAACAACAAACAACUUUUUCAUUCUUUCCCUUUUUUGAAUGAAAACCCAAACUCCCUUUUUGACCGAUGUGGUUUACUCCCUUUCUCCACAUCGGUUUUUAU
rnacentral:sRNA from 1 species